rnacentral:rRNA from 1 species
CCUACGUGUGGCAGCAGUGGGGAAUAUUGGGCAAUGGGCGCAAGCCUGACCCAGCAACGCCGCGUGAAGGAAGAAGGCUUUCGGGUUGUAAACUUCUUUUGUCAGGGACGAAGCAAGUGACGGUACCCACAGAGGAAGCACCGGCUAACUCCGUGCCAGCAGCCGCGGUAAUACGGGGGGUGAAAGCGUUGUCCGGAAUCAUUGGGCGUAAAGAGUUCGUAGGUGGCACGUUAAGUCUGGUGUGAAAGGCGGAAGCUCAACUUCCGUAGGGCACUGGAUACUGGCGAGCUUGGAUGCGGUAGAGGUAAAGGGAAUUCCUGGUGUAGCGGUGAAAUGCGUAGAUAUCAGGAGGAACAUCGGUGGCGUAAGCGCUUUACUGGGCCGUAAUUGACACUGAGGAACGAAAGCCGGGGUAGCAAAUGGGAUUAGAUACCCUGGUAGUC